rnacentral:tRNA from 1 species
CGAAUUAUAGUUUAAUUGGUUAGAACGUUAGCUUGUCGAGCUUGAAGUAUGAGUUCAAAUCUCAUUUUUUCAG